rnacentral:rRNA from 1 species
UACGGAGGGGGCCAGCGUUGUUCGGAAUCAUUGGGCGUAAAGGGCGCGUAGGCGGCCGAUCAAGUCCGACGUGAAAUCCCUCGGCUUAACCGGGGAACUGCGUCUGAUACUGGAUGGCUUGAGGUUGGGAGAGGGAUGCGGAAUUCCAGGUGUAGCGGUGAAAUGCGUAGAUAUCUGGAGGAACACCGGUGGCGAAGGCGGCAUCCUGGACCAAUUCUGACACUGAGGAGCGAAAGCCAGGGGAGCAAACGGG